CUGAUCUGUGUAACCUGCUGUUGGGUGGGAUCGAAACUGUACGAAACAGUAGAUCUCUGGGAACAACACUGAUCACCACCAAGAUGACAUACUCUAUGGACCUUCCACCUUUUUUCUACUUCUGCUCACCAUCCAGAUCAGAGCUUGACCUUUGCCCUUUCUGCUCCAGGCUGACUAUCUGUGACAUCCUGGGAAAACAUUGAUGGCUUUUAAGAACCCACAACCACUUUUCCCAUUAGACUAAGUAUGAUUUGCAGAUUACAGCAAAAUCUGAGAGUCCAAACAGGAUAUGAGAACCAUCUCUCUGCUAACAGCUAAUAGUGUAUGGAUUGAACCUUGAAUGCAAAAUGAUCGACAUUCAGUGGCUGGGGAACAAAGUGAAUGAGAGAUAAUAUGAAGGACACAUGGAUCCAACAGGAUGCAUAUGGAACAAGACUGUGUUUUGGCUCGGAC